rnacentral:lncRNA from 1 species
AAAUUAGUGAUUAUAAAAGUUAAAAAAUGGCAUUAGAUUUUAAAAUUUUGUAAAAAUAUAAAUAUAAAAUAUAUGACCGGUCCGGUUCGGUCCGGUCCGGUGCAGAGAGAUGUAAAACCAGAACUGGAACCGGUUGGAACCGGUUCGGUCCUGUUCCGGUCCGGUUUGUUGACUUUUUUGGUCAACCGGUUUUUUUUCCGGUUUUUUUUCACCGGUUCGGUUCGGUGUUCCGGUUUUCCGGUCCCG